CCUACGGGAGGCAGCAGUGAGGAAUAUUGGUCAAUGGGCGGAAGCCUGAACCAGCCAAGUAGCGUGCAGGAUGACGGCCCUACGGGUUGUAAACUGCUUUUAUACGGGAAUAACGCGCCUUACGUGUAGGGCUUUGCAUGUACCGUAUGAAUCAGGACCGGCUAAUUCCGUGCCAGCAGCCGCGGUAAUACGGGGGGCACGGGCGUUAUCCGGCUUUAUUUGGUUUAAAGGGAGCGUAGGGCGCAUCUCAAGCGGGCUGUGACAUGUCCGGGAUCAACCCGGGCCUUGCAGCGCGAACUGGCGUGCUUGAGUCCGCGGAAGGCAGGCGGAAGUCGUCGUGUAGCGGUGAAAUGCUUAGAGAUAACGAAGAACCCCGAUUGCGAAGGCAGCUUGCUGCAGCGGAACUGACGCUGAUGCUCGAAAGCGCGGGUAUCGAACAGGAUUAGAUACCCGAGUAGUC
rnacentral:rRNA from 1 species